CCUAGUGUUAGACCAGUUUUUAGAGACCAACCAGGGACACAUCGAUAGUACUAUUAUGUAAAUAUUUAUCUUUACGAGGAACAACAUAAGAUAACUUGCAUACCGAAAGUGUGAACACACACUUUCCACAUCAAUUAACUUGUCAAUUAACCCGCUAUCCGAACGGAAUUUUUUACCCCUCACCCCUCCAUUGCGGGAGAUGCAAAC
rnacentral:lncRNA from 1 species